rnacentral:rRNA from 1 species
ACUCCUACGGGAGGCAGCAGUGGGGAAUAUUGCACAAUGGGCGCAAGCCUGAUGCAGCCAUGCCGCGUGUAUGAAGAAGGCCUUCGGGUUGUAAAGUACUUUCAGCAGUGAGGAAGGGUGAGUUCAUUAANGCGGCCUCAUUUUGACGUUAGCUGCAGAAGAAGCACCGGCUAACUCCGUGCCAGCAGCCGCGGUAAUACGGAGGGUGCGAGCGUUAAUCGGAAUUACUGGGCGUAAAGCGCAUGCAGGUGGUUUGUUAAGUCAGAUGUGAAAGCCCGGGGCUCAACCUCGGAAUAGCAUUUUGAAACUGGCAGACUAGAGUACUNUAGAGGGGGGUAGAAUUUCAGGUGUAGCGGUGAAAUGCGUAGAGAUCUGAAGGAAUACCGGUGGCGAAGGCGGCCCCCUGGACAGAUACUGACACUCAGAUGCGAAAGCGUGGGGAGCAAACAGGAUUAGAUACCCUGGUAGCUACG